rnacentral:misc_RNA from 1 species
AGCCAAUCCCCCGUUGGAUCAAGGACCGCCAUGAUCCUUAGAAUCUCGACCUUGACCUCGAAUAGGUCUUUUGCCUCUAUUUCGGCCAGGUACAUGAUCCCGAUAGGGGGAGUAUAGGAGUAUUUGGCUAGGAGCCUCCGCUGGAUAGACUGAACGGAAUCCCCCCCUAUCACUUCAUCCAGUUGAUACGGAUAGGGGACCACUCGUGGGGGCUGAUUCGAUGGACCAGCUUCG